GCUCAGCACAGUGCCGUGUGUCUGCGGUCCCAGCUACUCGGGAGGCUAAGGUGGGAGGAUCGCUUAAGCCCAGGAGUUCUUGACUGUGGUGCGCUAUACCAAUCAGGUGUCUGCACUAAGUUCAGCAUCAAUAUGGUGACCUCCCAGGAGUAGGCGACCACCAGGUUGCCUAAGGAGGAGUGAACCAGCCCAGGCCAGAAGCAGAGCAGGUCAAAACUCCCCUGCUGAUCAGUAGUGAGACUGGUCAGGAAUGUGAGUCCUCACACCAUCAUGAGCAAAGGCACUAGCUUAAAAAGGCUCUCCAGUUU
ensembl:misc_RNA Metazoa_SRP Metazoan signal recognition particle RNA